rnacentral:lncRNA from 1 species
CUGAUCUCUGUAGAACAUAGGAUUCUUGUCAGUUUAAUUUUUUUGUCUGCUCACAAGAAUAGAGCCAGCAGACGAACAGAUAAAUAGUAUGGUAUCUGUGAUUCCAACAGAAUUGUGUUUAUAUUAUGAAUGUAUUUAUAUUUACUUCUAGUUUAUGAACUGGUUUCUUAAGUCUUGUAACUUUUGUUUUUGAGAACUAGUUCUCUAUUACUAGUUACUUCUGUAUCUGUGUGCAUGUUUAAAAAGAGGAGACACCUUUCCCUCUGCAAGUUUCUAGGAGUGUCAAAUUUGAAGGCUAGACUCAUGAUGGCUAUUGACAGUGUCCCUUGUCCAUUACAAACCUGUUUUUAAAGAGUUUGUAGUUUAUAUAUAUAUGAACAUGAUCACUGUUGAUGUUUCCCUGAAUGGACUCAACCUAGAAGUGUUCUUUAAAAAAAAACCCUGAAUGUAAGUUCUGUGUGAACAGGGAAUGAGAUAUGUUUAUUUGUUUAAAAUGACUUUUUGCACUUCUUGUAUCUUAAACAUCUUUGAUUUAAAAGCUUAAUUUUAGCAAAUAAUCAACAAUACUUUGUUUUCAUAAGAAUUUUUGUUUAAAAGGCCAACAAAUUUAACUUUAAAAAGUGGCUGGUCCUAAACUGAUUUUCAUGGCAAUUUUUUAUUACAUAUUUUCUAAGGCCCUGAUCUUGGAAGCUGCUUGAUACUGUCCCCUGCGCCAGCAUGCAGCCCAUUGACUUCUUUGGGACUCCGGACUGGCUCAGGGAUCUGCCUGCAUAGUUCAGCUUCCAGGCUCAGAAUCUAAAUAGGUGUGUGAAGGAGCUUUCAUUAUUGUAAUUUCUACAUAAGCCCAGAUCCUGCAGUUGACUCUGUGUGGGUGGGACUCUAUUGAAGUCAAUGAGACUCCACACUGGGGAUGGGUUCUCCUCAUGAGAAGUCAGUUGCAUGGUCGGGAUCCUAGUUUGACGCCUCAGGGUGCAUUCCGGAGCCUGCUUACCAAGAUAAUAAAUACAGGCCCAGAUUCUUUUCUUCUGUUUCAUCCACUGCACUGUUCAGGAAUCUGGUUCUAACUGGUC